UACGAGGGGGGCAAGCGUUGUUCGGAAUUAUUGGGCGUAAAGAGCUCGUAGGCGGUCUGUUGCGUCGGCUGUGAAAACCCGGGGCUCAACUCCGGGCCUGCAGCCGAUACGGGCAGACUAGAGUUCGGCAGGGGAGACUGGAAUUCCUGGUGUAGCGGUGAAAUGCGCAGAUAUCAGGAGGAACACCGGUGGCGAAGGCGGGUCUCUGGGCAGUAACUGACGCUGAGGAGCGAAAGCGUGGGGAGCGAACAGG
rnacentral:rRNA from 1 species